UUCUUCUUUUCUGCACAGAGAGGGGGGUGGCAAGCUUUCAUUUGUCCUUCCUGAACUGCUAGCACAUACGGGUCAGUUCAUUCCAGUCAGGAAACUGCUACUCAAAGUUCUCCAGGACCUUCCUGGUCUGAAGAUGGCACCUACAGUUACCACAUAUUUGGCCACAUUCUCAUCCCAUAGAGAAAGCUGGGAGGACCAGACCAAAUGUCAUCCCGGCAUGAAAGAAUUAGAGCCCUCUGCUGUGCAUAUGCCUCAGUGUGUCUUGUUCAAAACCUCAGGAUGCAAAAUAUAACAUUUGGGAUCCCAAGUAGUUUCUGAGAUGGUUCGCAAACGUGAAAACACACUGGGAUGACCUGGUGGAUAACUUUAAGUAGAAAUGCCUGGGUGCCACCUUCAGCUAAUUAAAUCAGACACUCUAGAGGUGGGCUUCUGUAGAAGAACAAGCUUUGCAGGUGAUUCUAAUGUGCAGCCAGGGUUGAGAACCACUGGGCCACCGAAGGCUCAAUUCAGAGAGCUGCGAGUUGGCGUGUGGUUUCUGAAACCCUCUCCCGGUUCACUGGAGACCCACUUUCUCCACUGGCCUCUCUGUGCCCUGGGUGAGUUAGUCCGCACUCACCUCCUUGCGGUUACCAAGUUCCAACCCCACCACCGGCCCAGCCCCUGGAAUCCUUGCCAGCUCCCCAGGGGAAUUUCCAAAAUGUGUUGGUCUUGAGGCAUGGUGUAAACCAAUUUUUUUAAUGGCCUUUCCUAACUGGG